ensembl:lncRNA
GUUCAUCUCAAGUGGUAUUUCUGCUCUGCCAAACUUAAACAGUGCUGGACCUGAGUAGUGAAGGAUAUCUGUCCAAGGACUGCUGAUAGCAGAUAAGCAUGUGGAGAGAGGAUACAGCUGAAGGAUGCACCACCAACCUCCCCACUCAUUGAUAAAGUUGAGCAGGAGCAGUGUCACCAGCCGUGGUCCACUACAGAAACUUACAGAGGAGCGGUCCAGUUAGCAGAGACUGGACAUUGUAACAAAACCAAAAGCUGGAUCUCAAAAGUGGAACAGGCACACAGUAAGCAAAAAUGGAAAUGAAAAACAUUUGUAUACUGAACAAUGCAAUCAAACACUAUCAUGAGAAAAAAAAUGAAGAAACUACGUUUCAACAUAAGAAACAUGCUGCAUGGUUUCGUACGAGUCUUCCAAUAGCUGUCCACCUCAUUUAAAUUCCAGAAGAACACACACCUGCAUCACUACACCGAAGAGAAUUAGCCCACCAGCAAUGGCAGGGAUCUCAGGGCUCAGACAUUUCCCCUUCCCAGAGAGGCCACUGGAGACAAGUGGAGAACAUUUAUCCACUGCCUGCUCCUGCUGGGGAAGGAAAAAAAAA